rnacentral:misc_RNA from 1 species
GAUGAAGAACGUAGCGAAAUGCGAAAAGUAGUGUGAAUUGCAGAAUUCAGUGAAUCAUCGAAUCUUUGAACGCACAUUGCGCCCCUUGGUAUUCCAUGGGGCAUGCCUGUUCGAGCGUCAUUUGUACCCUCAAGCUCUGCUUGGUGUUGGGUGUUUGUCUCGCCUCUGCGUGUAGACUCGCCUCAAAACAAUUGGCAGCCGGCGUAUUGAUUUCGGAGCGCAGUACAUCUCGCGCUUUGCACUCAUAACGACGACGUCCAAAAGUACAUUUUUACACUCUUGACCUCGGAUCAGGUAGGGAUACCCGCUGAACUUAAGCAUAUCAAUAAGCGGAGGA